rnacentral:rRNA from 1 species
AGAGUUUGAUCAUGGCUCAGAUUGAACGCUGGCGGCAGGCCUAACACAUGCAAGUCGAACGGUAACAGGAAGAAGCUUGCUUCUUUGCUGACGAGUGGCGGACGGGUGAGUAAUGUCUGGGAAACUGCCUGAUGGAGGGGGAUAACUACUGGAAACGGUAGCUAAUACCGCAUAACGUCGCAAGACCAAAGAGGGGGACCUUCGGGCCUCUUGCCAUCGGAUGUGCCCAGAUGGGAUUAGCUAGUAGGUGGGGUAACGGCUCACCUAGGCGACGAUCCCUAGCUGGUCUGAGAGGAUGACCAGCCACACUGGAACUGAGACACGGCCCAGACUCCUACGGGAGGCAGCAGUGGGGAAUAUUGCACAAUGGGCGCAAGCCUGAUGCAGCCAUGCCGCGUGUAUGAAGAAGGCCUUCGGGUUGUAAAGUACUUUCAGCGGGGAGGAAGGGAGUAAAGUUAAUACCUUUGCUCAUUGACGUUACCCGCAGAAGAAGCACCGGCUAACUCCGUGCCAGCAGCCGCGGUAAUACGGAGGGUGCAAGCGUUAAUCGGAAUUACUGGGCGUAAAGCGCACGCAGGCGGUUUGUUAAGUCAGAUGUGAAAUCCCCGGGCUCAACCUGGGAACUGCAUCUGAUACUGGCAAGCUUGAGUCUCGUAGAGGGGGGUAGAAUUCCAGGUGUAGCGGUGAAAUGCGUAGAGAUCUGGAGGAAUACCGGUGGCGAAGGCGGCCCCCUGGACGAAGACUGACGCUCAGGUGCGAAAGCGUGGGGAGCAAGCAGGAUUAGAUACCCUGGUAGUCCACGCCGUAAACGAUGUCGACUUGGAGGUUGUGCCCUUGAGGCGUGGCUUCCGGAGCUAACGCGUUAAGUCGACCGCCUGGGGAGUACGGCCGCAAGGUUAAAACUCAAAUGAAUUGACGGGGGCCCGCACAAGCGGUGGAGCAUGUGGUUUAAUUCGAUGCAACGCGAAGAACCUUACCUGGUCUUGACAUCCACGGAAGUUUUCAGAGAUGAGAAUGUGCCUUCGGGAACCGUGAGACAGGUCCUGCAUGGCUGUCGUCAGCUCGUGUUGUGAAAUGUUGGGUUAAGUCCCGCAACGAGCGCAACCCUUAUCCUUUGUUGCCAGCGGUCCGGCCGGGAACUCAAAGGAGACUGCCAGUGAUAAACUGGAGGAAGGUGGGGAUGACGUCAAGUCAUCAUGGCCCUUACGACCAGGGCUACACACGUGCUACAAUGGCGCAUACAAAGAGAAGCGACCUCGCGAGAGCAAGCGGACCUCAUAAAGUGCGUCGUAGUCCGGAUUGGAGUCUGCAACUCGACUCCAUGAAGUCGGAAUCGCUAGUAAUCGUGGAUCAGAAUGCCACGGUGAAUACGUUCCCGGGCCUUGUACACACCGCCCGUCACACCAUGGGAGUGGGUUGCAAAAGAAGUAGGUAGCUUAACCUUCGGGAGGGCGCUUACCACUUUGUGAUUCAUGACUGGGGUGAAGUCGUAACAAGGUAACCGUAGGGGAACCUGCGGUUG